rnacentral:rRNA from 1 species
AUUGAACGCUGGCGGCAGGCCUAACACAUGCAAGUCGAGGGAGAGGUUAUCUUCGGGUAACCAAAACCGGCGCACGGGUGCGUAACGCGUAUACAAUCUGCCUUUCACAUAGGGAUAGCCCGAAGAAAUUUGGAUUAAUACCUAAUGGUAUAUAGGAGCGGCAUCGUUUUUAUAUUAAAGCUACGGUGGUGAAAGAUGAGUAUGCGUUCUAUUAGCUAGUUGGAGAGGUAACGGCUCCCCAAGGCGACGAUAGAUAGGGGUUCUGAGAGGGAUGUCCCCCACACUGGUACUGAGAUACGGACCAGACUCCUACGGGAGGCAGCAGUGAGGAAUAUUGGACAAUGGUCGGAAGACUGAUCCAGCCAUGCCGCGUGCAGGAUGAAGGUCCUAUGGAUUGUAGACUGCUUUUGUAAGGGAAGAAUAAGGAGUACGUGUGCUUUGAUGACGGUACCUUACGAAUAAGCAUCGGCUAACUCCGUGCCAGCAGCCGCGGUAAUACGGAGGAUGCAAGCGUUAUCCGGAAUCAUUGGGUUUAAAGGGUCCGUAGGCGGGCUGAUAAGUCAGAGGUGAAAGCGCUUAGCUCAACUAAGCAACUGCCUUUGAAACUGUCAGUCUUGAAUGAUUGUGAAGUAGUUGGAAUGUGUAGUGUAGCGGUGAAAUGCUUAGAUAUUACACAGAACACCGAUAGCGAAGGCAUAUUACUAACAAUUUAUUGACGCUGAUGGACGAAAGCGUGGGGAGCGAACAGG